UCAUAUGUCCCAUUUUCCUAUUUCGUUCAUAGUGCUUCAAAGAGCAGAAGCAAGUUCGUUCAAAUGGCUUCAAGAACAAAAGCUAAUCCAGUUGUUGCGAUUCUAAACUCAAUCCAACAUGCAACAACACAAUUCUAACGAGAAUUUGUUAGAAUCGUAGCAACGUGAAAUUUUGCGGUUCUAAAGGUGUACGUGCAAUCUUCUCCUAGAGUAUUAUACAGAAUUUUCCCUACUCCAGGUAUGCUAAGGCUAUCCCUUCUUUCUUUUGGCAUGAUCCAUACGAUACGAACGAAACGUGUAAAUGCACAAAUUCCAUAAAUGACUCCAUUCAUAGAAGUAUUAGAGAUAUCUAUAUUCUUGAAUUUCCAUGUGUCAUAAUAUUUUAUUAUUUGUUCAUGGGUCUCAGAAAAAUACAAAAGUUGAAAAGAGUUUACUUUACGAUAUUACUCAUAGGCAAAAUGGUCUUAUGACAUUCCGAAAGAUUUUAUUAACGUACUUUUCAUGCAUUGCAUUCAUGUACAUUGAUCCAUGACCAGAUGACGUUAUAUACGCAUAUAUAUGUAUGUAUAUAUAUGUAUAUGAGAUAUGAGAAAGGUUAUAGCAUUAUAUACGCACCACCACCUGAUCAGCUGGUAUACGUUGAUGAUUUUGCCCACAGUGGCCGAUAUGAUAUGAUGGGAUGCCCUCAGAGGCUGAUAUUGAUAUGAAACAUGUACCUAUGCACGACAUGACAUUCAUACGCAUAUGCAUGACGCUAAAAGUAUUUCAUGAACAGAGUUAUCUAGACUUACAGGUUGAGUCAAUUACUCUAUAUUUAUUCCAUGUCUGUUAUGUACUUAUUUAUGUGCCUUACAUAAACAGUACAUUUUUCAUACUGACAUUCCUUUUGCCUAGGGACGCUGCGUUUCAUGCACGCAGGUCCCGAUAGACAGGUCGAGAGCCCUCCAAGUAGGCUAUCAACUCAACGGAAGAUGUUGGUGCGCUCCACUUACUUCGGAGUUGCCCGUUUGGUUAGUAUAAUUUAGACAUGUAUUGUUUGGUAUGGUGGGACUCUGUCCCGACCUUGAUGACAUUUAUGUACUUUUAGAGGCUUAUAGACAUAUGUCG
rnacentral:lncRNA from 1 species